CCGCCCCCUUUGAAUGUAUGAGCAUCUGCUGAAUCAAGCCAUAGACUGCACAGCAAACCAUACAAUGCUAUUAUGUGUGUUAGCCUUAUCCAUGCAGACGGUAGUGAGGUAGCGAGUUGAUUUGCGUUAACCUGAGUGCCCGUCACCUGGGCGCUUCCACCACCUGUAAUGCCAGAUCGGUGAGCCUGGAGAUCAGCCCACUGAGCUAUUCCACCAGUAGCAGGCAGAGCAAGCUUUUAUGCUGAAUUAACCAAAAUACAAAACUUUGGAGCAUAGAUUUUUCUCCUUUUAUGCUGGCUUUGCAUCCAUUACAAAGAUGUCUGUUCAUUCUUAGCUAAAAUACUAACCCCAAAAUGCAACAAAGCAGCAGAAGUUGAUACUAGAUCAGCACCAUUGUGUCACACAGACAGGGCAGUUUUGAUUGCUGUUGGAAGAUGGAAAGCUGGAUUCACAGAAGAUUAUUGAAACCACUGCCUGACACAUGAGUGAUAGGAGCUUGGUGUAAAUCUUCAGAAUGAAUGUUUUAUGUGUUGUGAUCACGUGUUUACCUUGUGGAAAAUAAAACACAAAGGAGAGCAACAAACCUCAAACUUCAGUCAGACUAUAGCCUCUUUGGAAAUUCUUUGGCACAGAUACAAGUUCAUGUUCCUGCUCCCUAACUCUCCAUCAUCUGCUGCAUGUUGCUGGAUUGCUGGGCUCAAAUCCUCUAGCAUCUGCUUCUU
rnacentral:lncRNA from 1 species